rnacentral:lncRNA from 1 species
UUUUUUUUUUUUUCCCUUUCUCUGGAGCUGCUCUGGACUAAACACCAGAAGAGCAGCAACAGCAGCACCUGUGGCCCAGCGGGCCGGGCCUGGACCACAGCAUUUCCAGCACCGGAGGGACUGAUCAGAGACUGAGUGAGCCCAGCGGCAACCCAGGAGAUUUUUUCCUGAGUUUGUCUCUCUCUUGGAGUGGCAAGAAGUUUUAUUGUUUAAUAUUGUUUAAAAUUGCUUGUUUAAUAAACAGGUUUUUUCUACUUUCCUCCAAAGAAGUAUCCUUCCCGAACUGGUUGGUAGAGGGGGGAGGGGCCGAUUGAGUCUGCUUUCCUAAAAGAAACCCUUUUAGGGUUCUUUCCCCAAAUUUGACCUGAACCAGAACAGUCGGAUUCCCUUAGGACUGUCAGGGCGGCAGUAGUUUGAGGUGGGGGCAACUUGGGUCUGGGAGAAAUCGUUUGCCGUUCAGAAUUUUUGCAGGUGGCCUCCCCCUCUGGGCCACAGCCCCUGAGCACAAACAGCGGCCCUUUUCUCUGAGAAAGAAAACUCGCUAGCCCAGGUUCCUGAUGUCAGUUUGUAGGGUUCCCUUGGGACUGUGAGGGCAACAGUAGUUUGAGUUGGGGGCAGCUUGGAUCUGGGAGACAUCCUUCGGUGUUCACAUUUUUUGCAGACGGCUGCCCUCUCAGGGCUACAGGCCACACUGUACAGAUACAAUGCCACUUUUCCCUAGGAAAGAAAACUCGCCAGCCCAGGUUCCUGAUGUCACUUUGUCGGAUUCCCUUGGGACUGUCAGGGCAGCACAAGUUUGAGGUGGGGGAAGCUUUGGUCUGGGACACAUCUUUGCCAUUCAGAUUUCUUGCAGGCGGCCGCUUCCUCCAGGCCAAAGGGCUCUGAAGAGAAACAAUGCUACGUUUCCCUGGGAAAGAAAACUCACCAGCCCAGGUUCCUGAUGUCACUUUGUCGGAUUCCCUUGGGACUGUCAGGGCAGCAGUAGUUUGAGGUGGGGGCAGCUUGGGACACAUCCUUGGCUGUUUGGAUUUUUUGCAGUCGGCCGCCCCCUCAGAGCCACAGGCCCCUGAGCACAAACAGCAACCCUUUUCCCUGGGAAAGAAAACUCGCCAGCCAGGUUCCUGAUGUCAGUUUGUAGGGUUCCCUUGGGACUGCCAGGGCAACAGUAGUUCGAGGUUGGGGCAGCUUGUUCCUUUGGGAGAGAUGCAUUGCUGUAAUUUUGAAAUUAUAAUUUUGAAUUUUGAAAUUAGACACUAUCUCCUUAAAUGGAAGAACCAUGCUGUGGGGAAAGGCAUUAGACUCGAGGAACAAACAUGAAAACAUCAUUACCUGGGUGUAGUUUUCCUUUUCCUACCUAACAGUAAUUUUCAAAUUCUCAGGGACCAAAAGACAGGAAAAAGGCAGCUUUUCAAAAGAAGGCACUUUACUGAGAAGAUAGCCAACAUUUUUCAGUAUACUCAGAUGUCAACUUGACACAGUCCUUUCAUAAUUGGUUGAACUCCACAGAUGUGGUAUUUUGGUAAGGAGUACAUCUUCUGGGAAUCAGCUGGUGUGGAAAAACUGUAGAAGAUCAAAACACUGACUUUGGCUAACAACAUGGGCUAGAGCCCAUGAGCCAUGAGCUCUAGAUUUGGCAAAGUCCUAGCCACUGACUGUUCUGUAGUAGCUGUACUUCAAUAUGCUUUAUCAAGUUUCAGAUCCCAGUCUGUUGCCACGCAAUCCAAUUUUCAUAAUUAUUUCUCAGUUAAACUCCAUUUGAUUUAUUUCUGUUCAAAUGAAUCAGCACAGCUGAUAUGAAGUUUACCAGACGCUCACAGUCAUGGUGAUUCCUGCAGAUGUAAUACCAUAGCAAAAUUAAUUUAUCCAUUGGUCUAAAGCUUGGUUUAUAACUCUGAGAUAAGCCUUUUCCCAGGCCAGGGUGGACAGGUAGGACUUUAGUAUAAGUGGAGUAUGUUCUAUUAUACUCUUAUUCUGUCUUUGCUCUUUACUCUUCAUGUUAGUUUAGGGAUGGUAUUUGAUAGAGGAGCUAUAUAAUUAUUAAAAUGGAAGGUCUGAGGUUUUUAAACCUCGUUUUGCUGUUGCUGUACAUUGUUCAGGUGUUUUGCAGUUAAAGAGCCGGCUUGACUCAGUGGUUCAGGAUUCAAAAUCUGUCUCUUGUACACUUCUCUGAUCUGCAAGUAACUUGCUUUCAUGCUGUGACUUCCUCCUCUGUUAAAAUGGAAAUAAUGAUAGAAAGAAGAAAAGAGACUGUAUCCAGCCAUGCUGUUAUUUUUCAGAAUAAGGUUGACUUUUUACUAUGUGUUUGCACAAUUCUUGCACAACAGGACCCUGAUUACUACAGUAGUACAUAAAUUAUAAUAAUAAGAUGUCGUUUUAAUAUUUUCCACCAUCAACAUGAUUCACUGUAAGAUCUUACUUAAAUCUUACUAUUUAUUAUUUUACUACUUGUAAAAGAGCACAGUAAUUAGCAAAAAUCUCAUGCUACAAUUUUAUAACGCUACAAAUACUCAGCAACAAGUGAGGAAUAGACUGGCAUUUCAGUUUUAACAUGCAGCACUUAACUAUAAUAAUACUGUACCAAUACCUUACAUUGUCCAGAGAAGAGCAAUAACGGUCAUGACGGGUCUAGAAAAAGUGUCCUAUGAGGAGCUGCUGAGGGAGCUGGGGGUGUUUAGCCUGGAGAAGUGGAGGGUCAAGGGAAACCUCAUCACUCUCUACAUAUGCCUGAAAGGAGGUUCUAAUGAAGUGGGAACAAAUCUCUUCUGCCAUGCCUGAAGUGAGAGGACCAGAAGAAAUGGCCUUCAGCUAUUUAAGAUGGGAGAUUUAGAUUAGAUAUUAGAAAACAACUUUUCAUGUUAGGGUGAUCAACCUAUGUUUCUCAGGAGGUGGUGGUGUUUAAGAGGCAUCUUGAUGUGGAGUUGGGUGAGUUUGUUUAGGGGUUACAAUGGCAGUGCUGGGUGCUCGGCUGGACUGGAUGACCUUGAGAGUAUCUUCCAACCUUGAUGAUUCCAUAGUUCUAUCAUAUAUCAUUCCAAAGUGAUUGAAGUUCCCAAGUGGAAGACAAAACACAUAGAAAUGUGGUCAUCCAUACUUUAAUUGAAAAAUAGAAGCUUGAAGACAAUUUUCUGCCAAGAAUGUAUUUUAAGUAAUGAAGGGAAGGAGGAAUAAUAAAAGGAAGAAGAAAGCAGAAGGAAAGUUCUAAAAGAGCAGAAGUGUUAUCCAUUUCUGGAUGCUAAUUUGCACUCAAGAAGUCUUACUACCAAAAGAGAGUUGGUGACUUGCUCUAGUUGAAUGGCCAUUAGAAAAAGCUUCAGAGCUUUCAAGGAAUAAUUUACCAAUCUUAUAAACAUAAAAUUGCAUCUCCCAAUUAAUAUAAUAACUAAACAGUAAUACUGUAUCCUAUUCUAUCCUAUCCUCAAAGCAUGAGUAGAAUCAGCUAAGAAUAUGCAAUCAAGCCUGUCUGAAGGAAAGAAGCAUGACAGAAAAUGCCCAGCAUGACAGAUAUGCCCAAACAAGACACCUGCCAUGAAACCUAAGGCAUCUAAUGUAUAUAAUUUGCAAAAAAGCAUGACAGACAAUUGAGAAAUAAUGAGUAUUUUAGCAAAGUUAACACAGAUCUCUUUGAAUUAAACCUGAAGUUUUAGCUGCUAUGGUUUAGUUGUUAUUUCUAAACUUCCAAAAUAUGUAGGUUUACAAGAUCAGAUCAGUGCUUCAUUUCUCAGAUAGUUAUAUCACUAAGAGAAAUUGUUAUGUACAUUUUUUAAAAUCUACAAAUAUUUCCACUUACCAGAACUUUUUGUAUGUUC